GAUGAACGCUAGCUACAGGCUUAACACAUGCAAGUCGAGCGACCGACGCACGGGUGAGUAAAACGUAUCCAACCUGCCCUUUACUCGAGGAUAGCCUAUCGCACGCAAGCAUCAUACCCUAUAACAAGCAUGGGGAUGCGUUCCAUUAGGUUGUUGGUGAGUUAACGGCUAACCAAGCCUUCUAUGGAUAGGGGUGCUGAGAGGAAGGUCCCCCACAUUGGAACUGAGACACGUACCAAACUCCUACGGGAGGAAGGAGUGAGGAAUAUUGGUCAAUGGGCGGUAGCCGGAACCAGCCAAGUAGCGUGAAGGAUGAAGGCUUAUGGGUCGUAAACUUCUUUUAUAUAAGAAUAUGUAUUAUAUGAAUAAGGAUCGGCUAACUCCGUGCCAGCAGCCGCGGUAAUUC
rnacentral:rRNA from 1 species